rnacentral:rRNA from 1 species
UACGGAGGGGGCUAGCGUUGUUCGGAAUUACUGGGCGUAAAGCGCACGUAGGCGGCUUUGUAAGUUAGAGGUGAAAGCCCGGGGCUCAACUCCGGAAUUGCCUUUAAGACUGCAUCGCUAGAAUCAUGGAGAGGUGAGUGGAAUUCCGAGUGUAGAGGUGAAAUUCGUAGAUAUUCGGAAAGAACACCAGUGGCGAAGGCGACUCACUGGACAUGUAUUGACGCUGAGGUGCGAAAGCGUGGGGGAGCAAACGGG